CUAAUUGUCUGGACAUUGGUGGGGCCCAGCUGCUUUGCCUGCACACCUGGUGCCACUUUGCGGGGCUCUGGGCCCCACUUUGGGUCAGUUUGCAGCGAGGUGGCUCCACGAGCAGGGUGUCCUGGAGCUUUCCUCUCCCUGUGCAUGGAGGCCGGAGGCACAGACGGAGAAAAGGAGGAAAAGGAGCUAUUGUCCGAUUGCUGCCUGCUGUAGGCCUGUUGCUGCUGCUGCAUCAAGGUGGAAUCAGUGUCAUUUAGCAUCUUUGCAGUUCUUGCAAUGGAAGCACGAGGCACUGCCUUUUCCAGCGGUGGAGCUGUGACCUGUCCGCUCCUCCUGAGCUCUUCCCCUCAACGUAGACUUGGGAACGUCGGCAGCAUCACAAGGGAGACCUCCAUCUGCACUGGCCUUGUGCUUCAAAUGUGACCGUCGGCUUUAACCUCCUCCUGCUCUAAGUAAGUGUGUUUCUUCUCUCAAAAAACACUUGCCUGCAGGCUUGGUGCCAUGGGCCCACAGACUCCAGAUUGAGCAGCUGAGGGGACAGGAGCUGCUCCUCUUGAUGCCACUGCCCCACAUGAGAGCUACACAAGGCAGCAGCAAUGGAGGCCACCAAAGGGUUUAACCCUGAAGGCAGGCAUAGCCCGUGCAGCUGUGGCUUCUCGGGUGAGCAGUGGUCCUGGUACACUCGUGCCAACGGCCACACUGCUAGACCUAAGCCAGGGGUAUGCGUAUACCGCUGUCACUGCAGAUACUUGGCUAAAAGCUCUCCAACUGAGGUUGUUUCUUUGCGACUGCAUGUUUGGCUUGUAGAGGUGGCCUAUUUUUAGAAAGAGCAUAAGCAGAGCAGAGGGAGAGCAACCUGCCACCUGGCUGCGUGUGCUAGGGAAAAGGGUUUUGCAGUUGCUGCAUUACACGGAGCAACUGCUUCGUUCAUUGCCCGCUCCCAACAACAAACAGGUUUGCAGUCAGGCCUUUCAGACAA